CGGUGGAGCAUGUGGUUUAAUUCGAUGCAACGCGAAGAACCUUACCUGGGCUUGACAUCUUUGGAACCUUGCGGAAACGGGGUCCGCCAAAACAGGUGUGACGAGCGCAACCCUCGUGGUCUGUUGUUACAUCGGGAUGUCAAAUAUCACGCCCCUUACGUCCAGGCUACAUACAUGGGUAGUGGACAUGGGUAGCUUGGCAGCGAUGUCCGGCAUCCCUAAACCACCCCUCAGUUCGGAUCGUAGUGCAACUCGACUACGUGAAGUCGGAAUCGCUAGUAAACGAGAUCAGCACGCUGCGUUGAAUACGUUCCCGGGCCUUGUACACACCGCCGUCACACCACGAAAGAGGGUUAUACCCGAAGUCGGUGUCCCAACCGUAAGGAGGGAGCCGCCGAAGUAGAAUUCUUGAUUGGGGUGAAGUCGUACAAGGU
rnacentral:rRNA from 1 species